UCUAAAGCAAAACCCUAUACCCACUUUCAGUUGCAACGGCCAGGGGAGAGAAGCAUAUGCAGCUCGUUCCCUGAAGCAAGAACGCGUCUGUUCCUCUUGUCGAUCUACCACCGAUAAGGCGCGGUGAAGGUCUCUCUUCCUCUCCCUCCCUCUUGAUAUUCUUCUUGGUUUUCAGUUUAUGAUUGGGGGUUUCAGAGUGAUCGAAUUAAUGAAAGGUCGUUUGAUUUGGCUUUGAUUUUUUGAGAGGAUAAAAUCAAAUUUGAGAUUCGUGACUAUCGGCGUUAGUUAUUUGAUUGCUCGAGGAUACUUGAAUCUGCAUUUCUGAUUUCUGAUCUGUUUGGGUUCCGAAAUUGUUCUUGCAUUGAUCGGUGAAGAAAACUCUGAUUUUCUACUUCCACGAAAGACGAAAUUGUCGUCAAAGUGGGUUUUUGUUCGAGAUUUGGGUUUUGUCGCACUGAGUUUUGACGAGGAGCAUUAAUCAUGGAUGGUAACAAGGAUGAAGCAACAAGAUGCAUCCGAAUUGCAGAAGCAGCAAUGGCUUCUGGAGAUAAGGAUCGUGCUCUCUGAAAUUCAUCAAAAUUGUGCAACGCCUCAACCGAAACCUGCAGCUUGAUGAUCUACUUGCUGCGUGCGAAAAGUAAGAAUCUAUGACAUCCACUUCUUCCACUGAUCAAAACCCAGUAGGUCAAAAUCACAAAAAGCCAACUUCAUCUAAAUUUCCUGAGCUAUCGAAUGGAGGGGAGAAUUACACCGAAAUGUACCUUAAACUGAUCCAAGAAGUGAAGAAAAACAAGGAUUACUAUGCAAUUCUUGGGGUGGAAAGGACAUGUUCGGUUGAGGAGAUUAGGAAAGCUUACAAGAAAUUAUCUCUAAGGUUCAUCCUGACAAGAACGAGGCACCAGGUUCGGAAGAGGCAUUUAAGAAAAUAUGCAAAGCUUUCAAGUAGGCAGUAUUAGUAGGCUUACAUAUUAAAUUUGCAAUGCUUCCAGAGACGAAAGUCAAGAUUGAAAAUUCUCAAAAAGUUUUUCAAAUUUUGAAGGGCUGGUCUUAUGUUCAAAAUGGUGAACAAGGAUAGUCAAUGCGGUGGCAUGGGAUCCGGCUUUCCUUAAAAUGAAAGAAAUUCAGAAAAAAAAAUCAGAGAUUUAUGAUGUUCUGUUGCAUUAUUGUGUAUGUUGUUAAUAGUAUGGAGGGCAAGCAGGUUUUCUGGAGGAACUUGGUGGGAUUAGCCCCUAAUAUGACUGAUCCUUGGGUUAUCCUUGGAGAUUUCAAUGUUGUGAGACACCACGGAGAAAAAUUAGGAGGUGAUCCAAUUAGACAUGAGCUUGUGGAUGAA